rnacentral:lncRNA from 1 species
GCUGUUGGGUUCUAGAGCUAAUGGAUUGGGAAUACCAAAAAAAACAUUAAUACACUAUUAAAUAAAAGAAACAGGAAGACUAAACGUGAAAUCUUUAUGGUUUAAACGUUGGUUUUUUCUAACAAAUAAAAAGAAAAUGAAUAAAAGGAAAAAAUGAAAAAAAGGUAGAGGUACUGUAACAAGAACCCAGAAAAGUUCAUCGUACUCAAUCUCUCUCUCGCCUCUCAACCGCGUCUCUCUUGCUCUCUCACAAUCGCUCAUCAUUCCUUCUCUCCAUCUCAACCUUGCUCAUACCAAAACUCAACCGCCUCUCUCUUUCGUGUUAACUCUCGAACUC